GGGGGCAAUGGCGCUGGGCGCCCUGUGGUCUUCAAAACCAUUGGCCCGGUCUGCAAAACCGGGGGGAGGUUCGAUUCCCCUUGCCCCCUCCA
rnacentral:tRNA from 1 species